GCCGAAAUAGCUCAGUUGGGAGAGCGUUAGACUGAAGAUAUAAAGGUACCUGGUUCAAUCCCGGGUUUCGGCA
rnacentral:tRNA from 1 species